GAUGAAGAACGUAGCGAAAUGCGAUACUUGGUGUGAAUUGCAGAAUCCCGUGAACCAUCGAGUCUUUGAACGCAAGUUGCGCCCGAAGCCACUAGGCCGAGGGCACGCCUGCCUGGGCGUCACACGCCGUUGCCCCCCCAUCUACUCCUUCUGGAUUGCGGGGGGGCGGAUGAUGGCCUCCUGUGCGCCUAGCCGCGCGGUUGGCAUAAAUACCAAGUCCUCGGCGACGCACGCCACGACAAUCGGUGGUUGCGAAACCUCGGUUGCCCGUCGUGUGCGUUCGUCGCGCAUCGAGGGCUCGAAAAAAUGCUCGGCUCCGGCUGGGCUUUCAACGCGACCCCAGGUCAGGCGGGGUUACCCGCUGAAUUUAAGCAUAUCAAUAAGCGGAGGA
rnacentral:misc_RNA from 1 species